rnacentral:lncRNA from 1 species
UGAUGAAAAGCAGAAGCAAGCAUGAUCUCCUCAAUCAAGCAGCUUUGAGUCUCAUGGGAGAUACAGAUACAAAAUUAUUACAGCACAAGAUGGCAAACUACUUGAGACUGGAAACCAUAUCAUGUUCUUUUAAAUGGACCGUAGUUCUAUCACAGUUUAGUUGAUAUGACUGUACUCCAUAUUUGCCACACAUACUAGCUACACUCCUGAUACUUGCCAAGUAAACAAAACAACUAUUGUUCAUCCUUCAAAAUCUUAUCUAAAGGAAAAAGGAGAAAUGGGAAAAUCAAUGGAAGGAAAAACUGAGCGUGACAUCAGCAAGAUGGCAGAACAGAAAAUUCCCCCAUAUCACUCCCCUCACAAAAAUACAACUGGAAACUGUUCAAAGACAAACAUACCACCCUGAAUUCAUCCAAACUUGGGGGAGAAGUGGAGGAGCCCCCUGGGCCCACAGAACUGAGAGAAGCUGCAACAAAUAGGAGAAAUGGUCAUUUCAGACUGCGCCACCCCUACCCCAAGUCAGCAUAAUGCCACCGACAGAAUUUCCCCAGACCCAGUUUCUGAGGUGAGAGUAGGGAGCUGCAGGUAGACUUUCAAUCUCCCCACUAAUCUGGGAAUCUUCACAGGAAGACUACUCCAUUCUGAUACCACAGGAAACACUGGGGGAGCCAGGAAAGAACCAAACUACUUGGGACAAAGAGUGGGGCACUGACUGCAGCAACUGGCAUGCAGAUCUUGGUAAUUACUCUGCACAUCCACCAGUGGACACACCACACUGAAGAGGCUGGCCAUCACCAUAGUACUGCAGGAGACACAAUCCAUGGGAAGGCCCAGCUGCCUGGCCAGAUUUUCUACAAAGCUCAGGUGUCUGCAAGGAGCCUUCCUUUGACCUGAAAAAACUAAAAGAUCGGGAUUAAGUUCCAGUAUGUGCUUAAGCCUUCCCCAGAGUGGGAAACAAUGGCAGGGCAGUGAUUUAGUUAUAGGGCAGCAUUUAAGUUUCAGUGCCCACUGUAAGUUUUCCCCAGAUUGGGAAACAACAGCAGGGCAAUGAGUUAGUUUCAAUGCAGCAUUUUAGUUCUGGUGCUCACUAUACAUUAUCCCCAGAAUAAGAAGCAACAACAAACUAACAUUUAAAUUCUGAUGCUAAGUAGUAAAGCUCUAGCAUCACCAAAGAACAUCUACAAAAACCAGAAGAGGUGGCUGCUUCCUCAAAUAUGCAGGCAUCAAUGUAAAGAUACAAGGAUUGUAAAAGCUCAGGGAAAUAUAACAACACACAAAAAAAAA